rnacentral:rRNA from 1 species
AUAAAUGCCAAGUCCGUCUACGGCAUGGCCGUAGAUCCCGUCUGAUCUCCGGAGCUAAGCAGGGUUGCGCCUAGUUUGUACUUGGAUGGGAGACCACCUAGGAAGACCAGGUGCUAUAGGUG